rnacentral:rRNA from 1 species
AGAGUUUGAUCCUGGCUCAGAUUGAACGCUGGCGGCAUGCCUAACACAUGCAAGUCGAACGGCAGCACAGUGGUAGCAAUACCAUGGGUGGCGAGUGGCGGACGGGUGAGUAAUGCAUCGGGACCUACCCAGACGUGGGGGAUAACGUAGGGAAACUUACGCUAAUACCGCAUACGUCCUACGGGAGAAAGCGGGGGACCUUCGGGCCUCGCGCGGUUGGACGGACCGAUGUGCGAUUAGCUAGUUGGCGGGGUAAUGGCCCACCAAGGCGACGAUCGCUAGCUGGUCUGAGAGGAUGAUCAGCCACGCUGGAACUGAGACACGGUCCAGACUCCUACGGGAGGCAGCAGUGGGGAAUAUUGGACAAUGGGCGCAAGCCUGAUCCAGCAAUGCCGCGUGUGUGAAGAAGGCCUUCGGGUUGUAAAGCACUUUUAUCGGGAGCGAAAUACCAUUGGCUAAUAACCGGUGGGGCUGACGGUACCCGAGGAAUAAGCACCGGCUAACUUCGUGCCAGCAGCCGCGGUAAUACGAAGGGUGCAAGCGUUAAUCGGAAUUACUGGGCGUAAAGGGUGCGUAGGCGGUUUGUUAAGUCUGUCGUGAAAUCCCCGGGCUCAACCUGGGAAUGGCGAUGGAAACUGGCAAGCUAGAGUGUGUCAGAGGAUGGUGGAAUUCCCGGUGUAGCGGUGAAAUGCGUAGAGAUCGGGAGGAACAUCAGUGGCGAAGGCGGCCAUCUGGGACAACACUGACGCUGAAGCACGAAAGCGUGGGGAGCAAACAGGAUUAGAUACCCUGGUAGUCCACGCCCUAAACGAUGCGAACUGGAUGUUGGUCUCAACUCGGAGAUCAGUGUCGAAGCUAACGCGUUAAGUCGCCGC